UACGUAGGGUGCGAGCGUUAAUCGGAAUUACUGGGCGUAAAGGGCGCGCAGGCGGUUCUGUUUGUCGAGUGUGAAAGCCCCGGGCUCAACCUGGGAACUGCGCUCGAAACGGCGGAACUAGAGUUCGGGAGAGGAGAGUGGAAUUCCCAGUGUAGAGGUGAAAUUCGUAGAUAUUGGGAAGAACACCGGUGGCGAAGGCGGCUCACUGGACCAUUACUGACGCUGAUGCACGAAAGCUAGGGGAGCAAACAGG
rnacentral:rRNA from 1 species